rnacentral:rRNA from 1 species
UACGUAGGUGGCAAGCGUUGUCCGGAUUUACUGGGCGUAAAGAGCGCGCAGGCGGUCGUUCAAGUCGCGUGUGAAAGCCCCCGGCUCAACUGGGGAGGGUCACGCGAUACUGAUCGACUCGAAGGCAGGAGAGGGUAGUGGAAUUCCCGGUGUAGUGGUGAAAUGCGCAGAUAUCGGGAGGAACACCGGUGGCGAAGGCGGUUCUCUGGGCCUGUACUGACGCUGAGGAGCGAAAGCGUGGGGAGCGAACAGG